rnacentral:ncRNA from 1 species
AUGAACCUUCGGGGCAGGGUGUAAUUCCCUACCGGCGGUGAGGAUGCGUUCGUGCGUCUAAGCCCGCGACUCCCGGUGUAACAGCCGGGACUGAUUUGGUGAAAUUCCAAGGCCGACGGUGAAAGUCCGGAUGGGAGAAGGUUAUA